UACGAAGGGUGCAAGCGUUAAUCGGAAUUACUGGGCGUAAAGCGUGCGUAGGCGGUUUGUUAAGUCUGUUGUGAAAUCCCCGGGCUCAACCUGGGAAUGGCAAUGGAUACUGGCAAGCUAGAGUGUGUCAGAGGAUGGUGGAAUUGACGGUGUAGCGGUGAAAUGCGUAGAGAUCGGGAGGAACAUCAGUGGCGAAGGCGGCCAUCUGGGACAACACUGACGCUGAAGCACGAAAGCGUGGGGAGCAAACAGG
rnacentral:rRNA from 1 species